AACGAACGCUGGCGGCGUGCCUAACACAUGCAAGUCGAACGAGACCUUCGGGUCUAGUGGCGCACGGGUGCGUAACGCGUGGGAACCUGCCCUUAGGUUCGGAAUAACUCCCCGAAAGGGGUGCUAAUACCAGAUAAUGUCUUCGGACCAAAGAUUUAUCGCCUUUGGAUGGGCCCGCGUUGGAUUAGCUAGUUGGUAGGGUAAAAGCCUACCAAGGCGACGAUCCAUAGCUGGUCUGAGAGGAUGAUCAGCCACACUGGGACUGAGACACGGCCCAGACUCCUACGGGAGGCAGCAGUGGGGAAUAUUGGACAAUGGGCGAAAGCCUGAUCCAGCAAUGCCGCGUGAGUGAUGAAGGCCUUAGGGUUGUAAAGCUCUUUUACCCGGGAUGAUAAUGACAGUACCGGGAGAAUAAGCUCCGGCUAACUCCGUG
rnacentral:rRNA from 1 species